CGGAGGGUGCAAGCGUUGUCCGGAUUUAUUGGGUUUAAAGGGUGCGUAGGUGGCUCUAUAAGUCAGUGGUGAAAGUCUGCAGCUUAACUGUAGAACUGCCAUUGAUACUGUGGAGCUUGAGUACUGAUGAGGUAGGCGGAAUUGAUAGUGUAGCGGUGAAAUGCAUAGAUAUUAUCAAGAACACCGAUUGCGAAGGCAGCUUACUAAGGAGUUACUGACACUGAGGCACGAAAGCGUGGGGAUCAAACAGGAUUAGAUACCCUGGUAGUCCACGCCAUAAACGAUGAUUACUCGAUGCAUGCGAUAGACAGUAUGCGUCCAAGCGAAAGCGUUAAGUAAUCCACCUGGGGAGUACGACCGCAAGGUUG
rnacentral:rRNA from 1 species